AUUGAACGCUGGCGGCAGGCCUAACACAUGCAAGUCGAACGGUAACAGGAAGCAGCUUGCUGCUUCGCUGACGAGUGGCGGACGGGUGAGUAAUGUCUGGGAAGCUGCCUGAUGGAGGGGGAUAACUACUGGAAACGGUAGCUAAUACCGCAUAAUGUCGCAAGACCAAAGAGGGGGACCUUCGGGCCUCUUGCCAUCGGAUGUGCCCAGAUGGGAUUAGCUUGUUGGUGGGGUAACGGCUCACCAAGGCGACGAUCCCUAGCUGGUCUGAGAGGAUGACCAGCCACACUGGAACUGAGACACGGUCCAGACUCCUACGGGAGGCAGCAGUGGGGAAUAUUGCACAAUGGGCGCAAGCCUGAUGCAGCCAUGCCGCGUGUAUGAAGAAGGCCUUCGGGUUGUAAAGUACUUUCAGCGGGGAGGAAGGGAGUAAAGUUAAUACUUUUGCUCAUUGACGUUACCCGCAGAAGAAGCACCGGCUAACUCCGUG
rnacentral:rRNA from 1 species